CAUGCUCUCUCUCUCCAAUUAAACUCCUCUCUCUCUCUCUCCAAUUAAACUCCUUUCAGUUUCUUCGUAACCUAUCAAAACCCUAAUUGACAGUCAUAUUCAAUCAAAAUUGGAGUUUCUCAUACCUAUCAAAACCGGUCACAUAUUCAUGUCCUUUAUGCUACUGGAUGCGAUUCUCUCAUAAGACCCUCCAAAGAGGAUCUGCUUUAGCUGGUGCUGCAGAAGAUAAUGGUUCAAAUCUUGUGUUCAGACUAAAAAUAAGGUUGAAGAAAAAGUUUAAACAUCUUUGGGCGACUAGGGUCAUUCCAUUAACUCGAUAUACAACUUAAUGAGGCUAUGAAACCUUUAAGCUUCAAUACGACACAUAUACGAUCCAUUGGCGAGCAUACCACGUUGGUCAAUGAGCCCAUUUUUCCAUCUUCAUGAAUCUUGACAAAAGGAAAGUUAGUUACAUCUUCUUCAAGCCCAGUUAAUUCUCUGCUUGCAAAAAAAUUACUUCAACAAUAUAGGAUGAAAUUGCGUCUUCUGUUGAUAGACACUAGUUUUCAAAGUCACCAGUGGUGAUAAUUACCAUCACAUCUUUGACGGUUGCAUAAUAUCAUGUUAAAAUAAUGUCACUAAUGCCGAUACUAAAUUUAGAUUUAAAUUUUACGACUGGGUCAUUAUGGCUGGGAUCUACAACCACCGUAACUAUUACCAUUAAUCCAGCCAUAAAAGCGCUCAGUAGUAUUGCCCACAUGUAAAAACCAUGAACUCUUAAUGCCCAUUUUUUGUCAACAAUAAUAGUUAAUGGUCUUUAUGUUUAUUUCCCACUUAAUCAAGUUUAAAUAAAUAAGAACUGCAUUUUGGGAACUGGUUAGAAACAGGUUGAACGGAGAUGAAGAUGAAGGCAAUGGUUUGGGCGGGGAGAUCUGGUAGCGGAUGGGUUGUAGGUGGUGGUGUGGUUGGGGAUGGUUUUUGAUGGCUGGUGAAGACGAUAGUGAGCGAUGGUGUUGUUGGAAACCCUCUCUGACGGAGGUUGGUGUCUCAACAUAAAGAGGCAUCAACUGUAAAUAUGAUGGAAUGCAAAGGUGAUUUUGUAAGAUUAUUGUUUUUAUUUACAUGUAGAGGAGGUAAGAAUUGAAGGAAGGAGAAGAAACAGCAACAUAGGUAAUGCCUAGAGAAACCAAAUAAAAGUUUGAUUAAAUAUCUUUGCUUUAAUACUAUUUUAAUUUGUAACCAUAUCUUCAAAAUUUCGACUUGAAUAUUCAAUGGGUUGACAAAAGAACUCAUGUUGCAACCUUAUUUUGGCUUAUUUUUUAAUCAAACUGAAUAUGUAGCUUUUCAAUGUAAAUGUUAUGGUCUGAUAUUUUGAGGUCAAAUUAACAGUCACAUAAUAAUAUACAAUGGAAACAAAUUUAUUCAUACUUUUGAUUAAAAAAAAAACCUGGAAGAUCAAUAUUAGACUAUAAAAAAUCACCACACAUUAGUAGGUAUGUCAGAUCAUAUUUAUACAUAUUUGAAACUUGAAUAUUCAUAGGUUUGACCUCAAAAGUCAAAUGCUACCUUUAUUUUGGUUUAUGUAACCAAGAAUUUGGCAUUUGUUUUACCUUGACAUUUUUUUUUAUUUUAUAGUUCAAUAACAUAGUCAACGUUCCGUUGUAGCCGAGAUCAUCAUGUACUUAUUACGCUUCUCCAUAAAGACGGCUCAGUUAGGAAAGACGAAGUCAAACAUUGGUCCUCUUUAUUAUUGUAAGUUGUCAUUUUGUUAUUUUCAACUUUUGCAACAAAAAUGUUGUAUACAAUUGUUAUUUACUUUAUUGUGGACUGGUUAUCGAAAAUAUGGCGGGUCGAACGAUUGUAUAAGGACCCAAAAUAGGCAACUUUUUAAGGGGUUAGUAGAUCAAAGACGAGCAAACGACCACGAUUUUGGUGGAAAAGUUGAGAUCUAAUAAUAGCCAAGUAAAUAGUAUUUAACAAAAGCUAGAUAAUUAUGGUUCUUAAUAAUACCGGAGACUACCAUCAAAUAUGUGAACAUUGUUCGACUUAGUUAUUGAAUAUAUACUUAAUUAAGAAGUGCAUGUUGUAUCUUUUUAUGAUGUUAAUCAUUCCUUUUACCUUCUAGGUCCCGCAUUUUAGUCAAAUUUGUGACGUUGAAGCUAUUAUAUAGGUUUCACAUUUUUUUUUGUUAACUAAGGUUGGGUCAUUUGAAGAAUGCUUUGUGUGCAGGUUAUAAUGAUGUGAAAGAGUUCAUCUUCAAGUAAUUAUUUGGCUUUUUUAAGUCGUCUGUGAUUAGCUUGGUUGAGUUUAUACAUUCGUUUCUAAAUAAUGUAAACUACAGAAUUAGUUUGAUGUGUAUGAAUUUAUAUCGUAUUUUUAUUAUGUGAUUAACUUUAUUCGACCCAAAUUGUUAAUCUGGCCCGAUUUUGACCCUUAAAAUAAAAAAAAAACUUUGAAUUUAGAAGAUCGGAACACACAUCCGGUCUUAUCAACUGUAUUUUUUUAAUGAUUCAGCUUGCGACUUAUAUAAUUUAAAUUGAUAUAGAAACAAUCGGUAUGGAUUCUUUAUACGUAUAACUUUUGAAAACAUGUCUUUAUUUUAUUUAACAAUUCCAUUAAUGUAUAUUAGUUUAUAUGUAUCUGUGUUACAUUUCUCUAAUAUAUAUAUAGAUUUUCUUGCAAGUUUACAGUCUGCACAUAACAGUUUCGGUUUCAAUUUUUUGUUUCCAUUUGGUCGGCUUAGUCGGUUUUGCUUCGGUUGAGUUUUGAUUUUUAGUUUCGAUUUAAUCGUUUUUUUUGUUUCUGUUUCAUUUCGGUUUUUUUUAGUUUCGUUUCGGUAUUUGACGUAUUUUUCAUAGAGAAAGCAAGUUGCAGUGAUGAAUUAAUGGAUUAUAGGUCAACUCUUCUGUUAUUGGCUUUAUUCAAGAAAGGUUCUCGUGAUGCUAACCGUAUACAUAUAGACUUUCAUGUAUAUGUUCACACCCACCAACUGUUUGAUAUAAUUCCUCAAUGAGUUGUUUUCACAGUCUCAGUAAUAUGAGUUGUUUUCAUAGUCUCAUUACUGAUUCACACAGAAGUACAACAUAUAUAUUCUCUCAUUCUCUUUCCUUUAUACAACCUGUAAUUUGAAUCACGGGUAAAAAGAUUCAAAUGGGUUCUGGUACCACUGUUUACAAGUUUCGUCUCAAGCGUAUGGAAGGGCAGCCUUCACUGGUGACUGAACAGGUUUACUUUGCUUGACGGCGUAUCCCAGACAAAGUUUCUGAAUUACGCGGGUUGGUAUGUGAGGACAUCAUUGGAGGCCUUGAUAAUAUUCUCAUCCAGCAACCAAUUUGGUCGAUGAUCCACCCGCUCCACCUACUGGCAAGUUAUCCUGCACUUAAUUUGGUUUUUUUUUUUUAAUUUUUGUUUUAACUAUGUUUCUUUACUGACUUCCUAUUUAGCAAGUGCGAUGGUUUUAGGCGUACCUUAUAUUUUAUACAUACAUAAUAUAUUCCUAUGUGCUCCAAAUUGAUUACUAAAAAAGUCCAACAAACCCCUAACCUUUUUAAACUUAUUUCUCCAUAUAUGUAGAUGCUCCCCUUGUAUGAAAACGGGUCAAGAAUAUCAAUGAUUAUUUUUAGUGGCUACUGUUACCAAGUAAAAUAAAUAGUUCAAUUUGGCAAAACAACAUUCUCAUUUCAUCUCAUAUGAUUUAUUAAAGUUAUGUGUUUUACAACAGCUUUAGAUGAGUAUGGCUCUUUGUUACUGUUAUGGUUCUAAUUCUUAGUUACACAAAUGAAUCAUAUAGUUUUUAAGUUGGUUUUUAAUUAUAUUAUAACUUUUUUUUUUGUAAUUAUUAUCUUUAAGCAUUUCAAUAACUUUCAGUUCUCUUAUCAUUGUUGUUCUAAACUUUCAUUUUUUAGCAGGUGAUCAUUAUUUUCAUUUUGUUAGGCAUAGUAAAAUAUGUAUAUUAAGAACAUGCAAUAGUAGCUUAAGAGUGUGUUAAGGGUUCUUAUUUAUUAGGACCAUAUGCAUAAACACUGCAAUCCCAUACCCGUGAUUUUUUUUCAAUCCUAUACCCAACCUCUUACCCGUCGGGUAUCGAGUAUACCUAUCCCAAAUGAUUCAGGUAUACCCAUCGGGCUUGGGUUACAAAAUUAGGGAUCUCUACUGAUGUGGUGCCUUAAGUCAAUAUUUUUGUUUUAACUUUGAGCCUUUUUUGUAAAAAAUUUUGAAAGUUUUAAGCUACUUGUGAGCAAAGAAAGAAAUGAAUUCCCAUAGGUAUAAAACUAUGAUUAUAGUUCAACAAGACUUUAGAAGUUACAAUAUGGAUGGUGAUCGGUUUAGGUUGUUUUUUAAACUUAAAAACUGACAUGAUGGCCACUUUUUGUAGUUUAUUUGGGUUUAGGUUGUUUUUUAAACUUAGAAAUUGACAUGAUGGCCAUUUUUUGUAAUGUUUAUGUGGGUUUAACAUAUAUUAUUGAUAGCGAUUAAAACACAUAUAGUAAAUUCAUUUUACGUACAUCUUUUGUAACUUUUCAUUUUAUUUUAUAUGGCCUGCAUUAUGUCUUGGCUUGGGCUGUGCUCUUAUUCUGGAAUGGCCAUCAGUCUGGGCUCAAUUACUUCGGUUCCGGUGUGACGGGUUCUAUGAUGACUAGAGCCCACAUAAUCAGCUGGGGGUACGGUUUCUUGCGUUUACGGAAGGCCCAAACCUAGCCUGAUUGUCCUACAAAAAGAACCCGGGUUUGGGAUUUCCGAAAGUGGUUUAAUUUUCAAGCGAAGGCCCAAUACAGGGUUCUUAUUGUGAAGACCAGGGCCCACCUUCGUCGUUUGGGCCUGGUGAUGUUGGGCUUGGUUUACGAGUGGUUUAAUCAGCAGUGUGUGCCCGCUUAUAUAACUACUUAUUGGCUUUGUAGUGGGUGGGAAAGGAUAAAAUGUCUAAAAGCUUCGGUCAGGCUCUGUUUAAUGGAGAAGGCUCAAGCAAGGGUUGGGCCACUGAUGGAAAUCAAGCACAUAUCGGCCCAACUUAAAAACGUCUUGUUGGGCAUCUUUUUUGUGGUUUGUGCAAACGCGCUAACGAUGAAGAUAAAGAGGACAAAUGUAGUUUACAAAGAAGUUUUUCCUGAUCUGUGAUGUUUAUGUACCGUAAUAUUUUAAAUUUUUUAGUUCAGUAUAAGUAUAAUGUUUAUACGUUUA